rnacentral:rRNA from 1 species
ACGAACGCUGGCGGCGUGCUUAACACAUGCAAGUCGCACGGAAAGGCCCUGCUUUUGUGGGGUGCUCGCGUGGCGAACGGGUGAGUAACACGUGAGUAACCUGCCCUUGACUUUGGGAUAACCUCAGGAAACUGGGGCUAAUACCGGAUAGGAGCUCCUGCUGCAUGGUGGGGGUUGGAAAGUUUCGGCGGUUGGGGAUGGACUCGCGGCUUAUCAGCUUGUUGGUGGGGUAGUGGCUUACCAAGGCUUUGACGGGUAGCCGGCCUGAGAGGGUGACCGGCCACAUUGGGACUGAGAUACGGCCCUGACUCCUACUGGAGGCAGCAGUGGGGAAUAUUGCACAAUGGGCGGAAGCCUGAUGCAGCAACGCCGCGUGCGGGAUGACGGCCUUCGGGUUGUAAACCGCUUUCUCCUGUGACGAAGCGUGAGUGACGGUAAUGGGUAAAGAAGCACCGGCUAACUACGUG